UUUGCUCGAGUAGUACUUCGACUUCCGAGAGAUAGAAAAGGAAAAAUACGUUCGGACGGAUCAACAUCGAGCGAAUACCACCUGGAAGAUUCGCGGAGACAAUAACCAACGCGAGAUCCAGGACGAUUCCACUAAUUGUCGCGAAGCUAGAGACAAGGAAGAAUGAAGAUGAAGGAAAAGAAUAACGGGCCGAAGGAAAGUGGAUAGAGAGCGACGGAAGAGAUGUCGAAUGGAACGAACGACCCACUGAUAGACGUAUUUUUUCAUUUUAAAAGAUAGAGAAGAAGAGAGAGAAAUAGACAGACGAAGGAAAGAAGGAAAGCAAACAGGUGUCCGGACGUCUCGAUGUUCGUGAAAUAGCGGCAAUUAAAUACAACGACUUUUCGUCCGCCAUCGACUUGUACUUUUCUUUCGACAAACUUUCAAACGGCCACGUUUCACCGUUACACGAGAGUCCAACCUCUAAUUUCGUCCAUUUUCUGACUCGAUCGCUCUAACCCUAACCCUGAUGCUGACCCUAAUCCUAACUCGAUGAUAUAUCGAUAGAUAACAGGUCGUAAUUCCAGCAAUUUUUCCCACGCCUUCCUUUCUCCCUUCGUCAAUUUACUAUAUACGUUUUCAUCGGGAUUUUUCUCCACUUUCUCUUUUCACCACGCUAUAAGUGGCCAAGGGGACUCGGCUAAAUACACCGCAAACACCGUAAAU
rnacentral:misc_RNA from 1 species